rnacentral:rRNA from 1 species
ACGUAGGGGGCGAGCGUUGUCCGGAUUUAUUGGGCGUAAAGAGCUCGUAGGCGGUUCGCUAAGUCGGGUGUGAAACCUCCAGGCUCAACCUGGAGACGCCACCUGAUACUGGUGUGACUAGAGUCCGGUAGGGGAGUGUGGAACUCCUGGUGUAGCGGUGAAAUGCGCAGAUAUCAGGAAGAACACCAGCGGCGAAGGCGGCACUCUGGGCCGGUACUGACGCUGAGGAGCGAAAGCGUGGGUAGCAAACAGGA